GCCACUACUUUUCCAGUGUGAGCAGUGAGAAUUGCACUGGAUCAGACACGAGAGACAGCUGCGGGAAUCCUGAGGGACCUCGGGGAGAGAAAUUCUAGCAGUGGUCCACAGACCAUAGGAAAAUUCAUCAGCCCUUACAGAAGUGAAGUCGAAAUACAGAGAAGAACAUACAAGCAAAACUGCCUAAGUACUCGAGAGGCUUACAGAGGAGUCAGCUAAAAAUACCAGCUGGUACUGGGUAGUACUGAGAGGAAUGGUCAUUCCGUGGAUUUUGUCUGCCCAACCGGCAUAAUACCUCAGGGUUUUUAUGACUCCCUGGAGAUCGACGUAGAAAGCUUGCAAGAAGGGUUUACCACUGUUCAGG